GAGGUAUUGGGGUGGUCCCUGUUCGGGUGGUGAAUUAAUCCCGUUCAGGAGGGAUCCCACGAAGGGGAUUAAUUCACGUCCCGAACAGGGACCACCCCAAUACCUCAUUUAGAAUGUU